CGUUAAAAGAUGUUCCAGUGUAUGUAAUUGUAAAUGGAAGAACUGAGAUAGUUGUAGCAUCCUC
rnacentral:tRNA from 1 species